UCCAGCCAGCCGCGGUAUCGGAGAUGCGAGGUUAUCGGAUAUGUUUAAAGGUGGCGUAGCGGCUGUAGUCAGCGGUCAAAGUCGGCUCACCCGCUGCCGUGAAACUGCGCCUCGAGUGGGCGAGAAGUAUGCGAAUGCGUGGUGUAGCGUGAAAUGCAUAGAUAUCACGCAGAACUCCGAUUGCGAAGGCAGCAUACCGGCGCCCGACUGACGCUGAGGCACGAAAGCGUGGGUAUCGAACAGGAUUAGAUACCCUGGUAGUCCACGCAGUAAACGAUGAAUGCUAGCUGUCCGGUUCUACGGGACUGGGUGGCACAGCGAAAGCGUUAAGCAUUCCACCUGGGGAGUACGCCGGCAACGGUGAAACUCAAAGGAAUUGACGGGGGCCCGCACAAGCGGAGGAACAUGUGGUUUAAUUCGAUGAUACGCGAGGAACCUUACCCGGGCUCAAACGCCAAAGGACAGCCGUUGAAAGGCGGCCUCCCUCCGGGGUCUUUGGCGAGGUGCUGCAUGGUUGUCGUCAGCUCGUGCCGUGAGGUGUCGGCUUAAGUGCCAUAACGAGCGCAACCCCCAUCGACAGUUGCUAACGGGUAGAGCCGAGGACUCUGUCGAGACUGCCGGCGCAAGCUGCGAGGAAGGCGGGGAUGACGUCAAAUCAGCACGGCCCUUACGUCCGGGGCGACACACGUGUUACAAUGGCCGGUACAGCGGGAUGCCAGGGCGCGAGCCCGAGCGGAACCCGAAAACCGGUCUCAGUUCGGAUUGGAGUCUGCAACCCGACUCCAUGAAGCUGGAUUCGCUAGUAAUCGCGCAUCAGCCACGGCGCGGUGAAUACGUUCCCGGGCCUUGUACACACCGCCCGGAAUCCACCACAGUGUCGAGAUG
rnacentral:rRNA from 1 species